rnacentral:rRNA from 1 species
UACGGAGGGUGCAAGCGUUAUUCGGAAUUACUGGGCGUAAAGCGCGUGCAGGCGGGUCUGCAAGUCUGAUGUGAAAGCCCUGGGCUUAACCUGGGAAGUGCAUUGGAAACUGUGGAUCUUGAGUGCUGGAGAGGAAGGGGGAAUUCCCGGUGUAGAGGUGAAAUUCGUAGAGAUCGGGAGGAAUACCAGUGGCGAAGGCGCCCUUCUGGACGGCAACUGACGCUGAGACGCGAAAGCGUGGGGAG